rnacentral:rRNA from 1 species
AGUGGCGGACGGGUGAGUAACACGUAGGUAACCUGCCCCGGAGCGGGGGAUAACAUUUGGAAACAGAUGCUAAUACCGCAUAACAACAAAAGCCACAUGGCUUUUGUUUGAAAGAUGGCUUUGGCUAUCACUCUGGGAUGGACCUGCGGUGCAUUAGCUAGUUGGUAAGGUAACGGCUUACCAAGGCGAUGAUGCAUAGCCGAGUUGAGAGACUGAUCGGCCACAAUGGAACUGAGACACGGUCCAUACUCCUACGGGAGGCAGCAGUAGAGAAUCUUCCACAAUGGGCGCAAGCCUGAUGGAGCAACACCGCGUGAGUGAAGAAGGGUUUCGGCUCGUAAAGCUCUGUUGUUGGAGAAGAACGUGCGUGAGAGUAACUGUUCACGCAGUGACGGUAUCCAACCAGAAAGUCACGGCUAACUACGUGCCAGCAGCCGCGGUAAUACGUAGGUGGCAAGUGUUGUCCGGAUUUAUUGGGCGUAAAGCGAGUGCAGGCGGUUCAAUAAGUCUGAUGUGAAAGCCUUCGGCUCAACCAGAGAAUUGCAUCAGAAACUGUUGAACUUGAGUGCAGAAGAGGAGAAUGGAACUCCAUGUGUAGCGGUGGAAUGCGUAGAUAUAUGGAAGAACACCAGUGGCGAAGGCGGCUCUCUGGUCUGCAACUGACGCUGAGGCUCGAAAGCAUGGGUAGCGAACAGGAUUAGAUACCCUGGUAGUCCAUGCCGUAAACGAUGAGUGCUAAGUGU